CCAAAAGACCACAUAACCGUCAGCAAUGUGGCAAAUUGAUAGUGACAGCGAAACUAAAAGGUGAGAAACUUAGAGAGAUAGAAAGAGAAACAUGAACAACAAAUUAAAGCUAAAGGUAAACGGACAACGAAGCUAAAUCUUUGAAGCAAAUUAAAACCUUCCCGGCUUCUCUUUCUCCUUGUGUUUCAUUGGUUUUAUUAUAAUCCCAUUUUCUCACGACGAAAAACUCAUCCGAAUUGUUAAGCUUGUUCAAUGGAGAUAAUGGGUUUUUCGUUGCUCUUCAAGUUCCUUCUCUUGCUCUCUGGCUUUGGGGUUUCAAUGGCGUUACAAGAAACCCCAUUGGUGGCUAAAAACUUGGGUCAAAUCAGUUCUAACUCGGUGCUUGUGGCCUUGUUAGACUCGCAUUAUACGGAGCUUGCUGAAUUAGUGGAGAAAGCUUUGUUGUUACAAAGCUUAGAAGAGUCUGUGGGAAAGCAUAAUAUUACCAUUUUUGCUCCUAAGAAUGAAGCUCUUGAAAGGAAUCUAGACCCUGAAUUCAAGCGGUUUUUGUUGGAACCUGGUAAUCUUAAAUCCUUACAAACUCUAUUGCUUUAUCACAUUGUGCCGACUAGGAUUGAGCCACAUUCAUGGCCUAAUUCAACAACGGGAUCGAUCAUUCACCGUACGUUAUCAAAUCACAAUGUUGAGCUCUCGAGUGAAGAUUCAAUGGGGGUUAAAUUCAUUGGUAGCGCUAAGGUUAUUAACCCAAAUGCUGUGAACCGUCCAGAUGGGGUUAUCCAUGGCAUCGAACAGUUACUAAUCCCUCAAUCAGUACAACAAGAUUUCAACAGUCGGAGAAAUCUCCGUUCAAUCUCCGCCGUGAAACCAGAAGGUGCGCCCGAAGUUGAUCCAAGAACCCACCGCUUGAAGAAACCGGCCCCGCCAGUGAAACCCGGUUCACCACCCGUUCUUCCGAUUUACGACGCAAUGGCUCCAGGUCCAUCACUAGCCCCGGCACCAGCUCCAGGACCCGGUGGACCUCACCAUCAUUUCAACGGAAUGAGGCAAGUCAAAGAUUUCAUUCAAACACUAAUUCAAUAUGGUGGGUACAAUGAAAUGGCUGAUAUAUUAGUGAAUUUAACAUCAUUAGCCACUGAAAUGGGUCGGUUAGUUUCCGAGGGUUACGUUUUAACUGUAUUAGCACCCAACGAUGAAGCCAUGGCUAAGUUAACCACCGAUCAAUUAAGCGAACCCGGUGCACCGGAACAAAUCAUUUAUUAUCACAUAAUCCCGGAGUACCAAACCGAAGAAAGUAUGUACAAUACAGUGAGAAGAUUCGGGAAAGUAUCGUACGAUACAUUGAGGUUACCACACAAAGUAUCAGCUCAAGAAGCUGAUGGGUCUGUUAAAUUCGGGCACGCCGAUGGAUCCGCUUAUUUGUUCGACCCGGACAUUUAUACCGACGGAAGGAUCUCGGUGCAAGGAAUCGACGGUGUACUUUUCCCGCCUGAAGAGAAAACUAAAGAAGAAAAGAAGACUAUCAAAGUUGCUACAGCGAAACCCAGAAGAGGCAAGUUGCUUGAAGUUGCAUGCAGAAUGCUUGUGGCAAUUGGUCAAGAUUCUCAUUUUAGCACAUGCCAAAUAUAAAAAUCACAACCAUCAUUUCCCCAUAUCAUAAACAAAAAACUUAAAAAGAAUUGGAAGGUGAAGCAGCAUAGUUUAAAACUCUUUGAAUAUGGUGUGAUGCAUUGCUCUCUACAAUAGGAUUUAGGUUUUUCUUUUUUAAAGUUGGGAUCAAGCAGCUAAACAUGGGAAGAUAUGGAAAAUGGUUACCAAAAAAUAUAUAAUAUUUUCCAUUCCCACAUGCUGAAAUUCAAUGAUUCACCCUGGUUAGUUGCUGAUACCCUCUAAAUGUACAAGUUUUUUUUUUUUCAAUUGUGUGUAAUGUGGCGGCACGGUGGUGGUGGCGGUGGUGGGGAGGAGAUAUGAAGGGGUGAGAGGGGUUUGGUUUUGUGUGAAGUAGAUAUGGAAGAUAAAGAGUCCACCAUGUGGGCAAAUCCAGCUUAAUAAUAAAAGAAAGCAAAAAGAAAAAAGCAUCACAUCAAUAUUAUAUUUGGAAAUAAUAUAUUCUUUUUUAAGAAAAAUAAAA